UGAUGGGAAAAGUGGAGAGGAACUCUUGAAAAACUUUUGAGAGUGCAAGCACAGUGUGUAGGUCAGACAAUGACGCUUGAGCGAGCCCUAAGGGGUGUUUAAAAAGUGGAAAUGGGCCGCCAACGCUGAGCUGUUUAAAAAGCCCAAAUUUGCCUCUGCAACGCCACUGCUCAACGCUAGUUUCACCACUGAGGGGUUGGCAUGAUUUAAAAUCUUUCACCCUUUUU
rnacentral:lncRNA from 1 species